GCCUUAAUGCGGCCAGAGCCGGUCCCCAGCCCGGAAAACGCAGAGGGAGGC
rnacentral:ribozyme from 1 species